rnacentral:rRNA from 1 species
GGGUUGUGAGGUUAAGCGACUAAGCGUACACGGUGGAUGCCCUGGCAGUCAGAGGCGAUGAAGGACGUGCUAAUCUGCGAUAAGCGCCGGUAAGGUGAUAUGAACCGUUAUAACCGGCGAUUUCCGAAUGGGGAAACCCAGUGUGAUUCGUCACACCAUCAUUAACUGAAUCCAUAGGUUAAUGAGGCGAACCGGGGGAACUGAAACAUCUAAGUACCCCGAGGAAAAGAAAUCAACCGAGAUUCCCCCAGUAGCGGCGAGCGAACGGGGAGGAGCCCAGAGCCUGAAUCAGCAUGUGUGUUAGUGGAAGCGUCUGGAAAGGCGCGCGAUACAGGGUGACAGCCCCGUACACAAAAGCGCAUGUGCUGUGAGCUCGAUGAGUAGGGCGGGACACGUGGUAUCCUGUCUGAAUAUGGGGGGACCAUCCUCCAAGGCUAAAUACUCCUGACUGACCGAUAGUGAACCAGUACCGUGAGGGAAAGGCGAAAAGAACCCCGGCGAGGGGAGUGAAAAAGAACCUGAAACCGU